rnacentral:rRNA from 1 species
CCUACGGGAGGCAGCAGUAGGGAAUCUUUCACAAUGGGCGAAAGCCUGAUGGAGCAACGCCGCGUGCAGGAUGAAGGCCUUCGGGUUGUAAACUGCUUUUAUAAGCGAGAAAUAUGAUGGUAACUUAUGAAUAAGGAUCGGCUAACUACGUGCCAGCAGCCGCGGUCAUACGUAGGAUCCGAGCAUUAUCCGGAGUGACUGGGUGUAAAGAGUUGCGUAGGUGGCAUAAUAAGUAGCUAGUGAAAUCUGGUGGCUCAACCAUUCAGACUAUUAGCUAAACUGUUAAGCUCGAGACCGUUAGGGGUAACUGGAAUGUCUAGUGUAGGAGUGAAAUCCGUAGAUAUUAGAAGGAACACCAAUAGCGUAGGCAGGUUGCUGGGACGGUUCUGACACUAAGGCACGAAAGCGUAGGGAGCAAACAGGAUUAGAUACCCCAGUAGUC